rnacentral:rRNA from 1 species
AAGCGUGCGCAGGCGGUUAUAUAAGACAGAUGUGAAAUCCCCGGGCUCAACCUGGGAACUGCAUUUGUGACUGUAUAGCUGGAGUGCGGCAGAGGGGGAUGGAAUUCCGCGUGUAGCAGUGAAAUGCGUAGAUAUGCGGAGGAACACCGAUGGCGAAGGCAAUCCCCCUGGGCCUGCACUGACGCUCAUGCACGAAAGCGUGGGGAGCAAACAGGAUUAGAUACCCUUGU